GCUUGCGGGCCUGCCACACUGAACACGCCGAAUCUUGUCUGAUCUCGGAAGCUAAGCAGGGUUGGGCCUGGUUAGAAGACCACCUGGGAAUACCAGGUGCUCUAAGCU
rnacentral:rRNA from 1 species